ensembl:lncRNA
AUGUCCUUCAAUUCUCUGACACUCUCCCUCCCUCUUUCAUCUUUACUCUCUCCCUCUCUUUUAUUACACCAAGAGUCCCUUGUUUGCUUUCCAGUCUCGUUAGGAGAAAUUGGAAUGUACAAAAAUCACAUAAAAGAUACCAACAACAACUGCAAUAAAAGCCUUCUCCCUGACCAUAAGGAGAAGCUGAUCCAGGCUAUUAAAAGAAUAAAGCAUGAGGUAGACGAGUGCUGGGAGGCAGAGAGAGAGACGUACAUAUGGUCUGUUGGUGUAGAGAGAUGCUUUGAUAAUCUGGAACGGGAGGUCCGAGCUGAGUUCCAGAACCUCCAUCGCUUCCUGGACGAAGAGGAGACCAUGGACAUGGAGCGACUGAAGAAGGAGAAAGAGAAGAGGGUGAAGCUGCUUAGGGAGAGGGAGAAGAAGAUCGCCAUGCAGGGAAGAGAUCUGGAGAGAGGCAUUGCCACGCUAAACAACAAACUGGCCGAGGAGGAUAGUCCCAAACUGCUCAAAGUGAGUGAGUUAGGGUGUUCAGGCUAUUGUUCUAGCACUGCACCUCUACACUGUGCUUUUUCUAAAUGGUAUGAUCCAAAAUUAAGCUUUGGUUCAUUCAACAUGUUCUAUUCAAUUUGCCUGAAAUCAAAUAACGAAUUUGACAGAUCAAUGUGAUUUUUAAAAAAUUUAAUGAAAGCUUCUAAAUUGCUUUCAACACCUCAUGUGCAUCAAUGUUGCAUUGUGGUGGGAGCAAUGUAGCAGUGGCAGCCUAACAGAAUUGUUGGAAGCAUGGCCUAUUGGGGGCAUGACAUUCUGUUUGUUAUUGUUGGCCACCCGUGAGAGUGAAUUUCAUUCCAGGUAAUGUGUUCUGUUUUUUUAAUGAUUAUAUAUUUUCGGCCAGCACUGAAACUUAAAUGAUAUCUGCUUAAGAACUGUGAUACUAAAGUGCAUGGAAAGGUGUCUAUUGAUGAGAUGGUUACCAUUUAUGUUAAUUUAUGUUACCGUUAAUGUGGAAAUAUUAUGUAAAGAAAGUGUUUGGAGUUUCAUGUUAUGGAACCAAUUUAAUAUCUUGAUUAACAGGACAUUUCAUUAGCUUAUAACCCAAUUGAAGAAAUUUGGAUAGGUCAUUCCAGAGUGAAAAAUCUACUUGGUACAACAUGAAAAAAUGUGUUCUACUGUAUAUACACUGAGUGUACAAAACAUUAAGAACACCAUGUCCAUAUCUCAAUUGUCUCAAGGCUUCAAAAUCCUUCUUUAACCGGUCUUCUCCCCUUCAUCUACACUGACUGAAGUGGAUUUAACACGUGAUAUCAAUAAGCGAUCAUAGCUUUCACCUGGAUUCACCUGGUCAGUCUAUGUCAUGGAAAUAGCAGAUGUUCUUAAUGUUUUGUAUAUUAGUUUGCAUUUGUGUUAUUUUUAGGUUUCACCAAAGGUUUAUUCCCACACCACACCCCUUGCAACCCCUCCUCACACCUCCUUCACCCCCUAAUAAUAGCCUUUUGGGAACACUUGACUUUCGCUCUUACUAGCUCUGACUGCUGAUAGCCACUUUAAUGAGGACAAAUGUACUUACUAUGACUGUGAUAUGUAGUUGUUCCACCUAGCUAUCUUUAGAUAAAUCCACUAACUAUAAGUCGCUCUGGAUAACAGCGUCUGCUAAAUUACUCAAAUGCUCAUGUAAAUCUAGUGCAGGGCUGGAACUAAAGCCUGCACACUGCAGUAGCUCUCCAUGAGGAGAGUUGCCACCGUCAAUGAUCAUAAGAUGAAACAAAUCUCUUAUGUCAUUAUUACGACACCGUCAUCCAGGUCUUAUGAUGAAAGGUUGGAGAGCAAAGUGUUACAGAGAAUGUGAUGAAUGGCAGGAGGGAGGGAGUGAUUUGGGGAGGGUCAGGGGAAUGAGAAGCUUGGAGUACCUCCACAGAAUCUACUGGAUGCUGCUUUCAGCUUCCACAACAGCUAGCCUACGCUGACAUUGCAGUCCUCAAGGACCACCGUGUCAGCUUAUUGCCUUCUCUUCUGGCACUAAUUUGAUCAAUCAUUGGCUAAAGAGUCUACUUGCCUGCUGUCGCAGGUCUAAAUCAAUUUCCCAUUAAAAGGUUGGUGGACAGAAAGCAACACACAGUGCAGUCUUGGAGGACUAGCUGAGGUUCGGCACCAAACAAUGACUGAGAGAGAAUAUCAACUGUCUAUUGAGUACACAAGGGCACUAUUGUGAUUUGUUUUCUGAUGGAAAACAAAUGGAAUAUUCAUUUUUAUUGGGCACCAUUGUCAGUGGAAAAAAUACAGUGUUAUGUGUAAUGUUGUUUUGAGUGCUUUAAGUCUUUCACUACUGUAAUGACCACUCCCUUUUUCUCUCUGAAGGAGAUUCAAGACCUCUUGAAAAGGCAAGUGUUUAUAUUUCAUUAUUU